GUGCAGUGAUGAUGAAACUUAGCUCACUUUGAUUCGCUGUGAAACGACACGAACGACUGAGCACC